rnacentral:lncRNA from 10 species
AUUAGCAUGAGAACGAGGCUCCAGAGCUAACUGAAGCCAUCCAGCAAAAUGUCGGCGUCUUCUUCGGCCCAAGGGGUCCUUCAGCCAGCUCCAGUUGUGGUGGGAGAGCUGCAGACUGCUCACGGCCUGCCCGGCCCCUGUGUCGACGGCCCCUCCCUAACCAUCCGGGCAUUCUUUGGAGGCCAGGCCCCUGGUGCUCUCAGGAUUGUUUUAAGACUGCUGUGACAACCUGGAGAUCAUCACCAGCCUCCUGGGGUCCCAUCUGACCCCAGCUGUGAUGCCGUCUGCACGGCACCCUCCAUCAUCCCUAACGCAGACACCCCCAACUGAGCCUACAGACGAGGACACGCCUGACGCCGGCCCCAGGAGAACAUACUGACCUAAAAGAGGAGGCAGAAGUGGACGCUCUCGUCUCCUGCUGUGCAGAAAUGAAGGCAGCCUUUCAGCAGCCCUGCGUGGUAGCGUUCAUUAAACCCCUUAAAAAUACACGUGCCAUCUCCACAUGAUGGGAUUUUACCAGGCAGUAGCAGGGAACGAUGUUCCAACAUGUGCCUCCACGUGGGCAAACCUCAGCACAGUAUGCUCAGGGGAAGGAGCCCCGCACAAAAGGCGGGUGUAGCAGGACUUCCCAAGUGCAAAGCGCUCAGAAUAGGUAAACCCGCAGGUGAGAGCAGAUGAGUGGCCACCAGGGCUUGGGGAGUGGGAGGCAAUGAGUGCCCAGAGGUACCAGGUCUAGAAAAUGUUCUAAAAUUGAUUGUGGUGGUAGAUGUAGAACACUGAAUAUACUAGAAACCACUGAGCUG